AGAGUUCGAUCCUGGCUCAGAACGAACGCUGGCGGCAGGCCUAACACAUGCAAGUCGAGCGCCCAGCAAUGGGAGCGGCGCACGGGUGAGUAACACGUGGGAACGUGCCCUUUGGUUCGGAAUAACUCAGGGAAACUUGAGCUAAUACCGGAUAAGCCCUACGGGGGAAAGAUUUAUCGCCAUUGGAGCGGCCCGCGUUGGAUUAGCUAGUUGGUGGGGUAAAAGCCUACCAAGGCAACGAUCCAUAGCUGGUUUGAGAGAACGACCAGCCACACUGGGACUGAGACACGGCCCAGACUCCUGCGGGAGGCAGCAGUGGGGAAUCUUGGACAAUGGGGGAAACCCUGAUCCAGCCAUGCCGCGUGAGUGAUGAAGGCCCUAGGGUUGUAAAACUCUUUCGCGCACGACGAUAAUGACGGUAGUGCGAGAAGAAGCUCCGGCUAACUUCGUGCCAGCAGCCGCGGUAAUACGAAGGGGGCUAGCGUUGUUCGGAUUUACUGGGCGUAAAGCGCGCGCAGGCGGUCCUUCAAGUCAGGGGUGAAAGCCCAGAGCUCAACUCUGGAACUGCCUUUGAGACUGUAGGACUUGGGUAUGGGAGAGGUGAGUGGAAUUCCGAGUGUAGAGGUGAAAUUCGUAGAUAUUCGGAAGAACACCAGUGGCGAAGGCGGCUCACUGGCCCAUUACCGACGCUCAGGCGCGAUAGCGUGGGGAGCAAACAGGAUUAGAUACCCUGGUAGUCCACGCCGUAAACGAUGGAUGCUAGCCGUUGGUAAGCAUGCUUAUCAGUGGCGCAGCUAACGCAUUAAGCAUCCCGCCUGGGGAGUACGGCCGCAAGGUUGAAACUCAAAUGAAUUGACGGGGGCCCGCACAAGCGGUGGAGCAUGUGGUUUAAUUCGACACUACGCGCAGAACCUUACCAGGCCUUGACAUCCCGUGCUAAACCCAGAGAUGGGUCGUCCCCGCAAGGGGCGCGGAGACAGGUGCUGCAUGGCUGUCGUCAGCUCGUGUCGUGAGAUGUUGGGUUAAGUCCCGCAACGAGCGCAACCCUCGCCUUUAGUUGCCAUCAUUAAGUUGGGCACUCUAAAGGGACCGCCGGCGACAAGCCGGAGGAAGGUGGGGAUGACGUCAAGUCCUCAUGGCCCUUACGGCCUGGGCUACACACGUGCUACAAUGGCGGUGACAGUGGGCAGCGACCACGCGAGUGGAUGCGAAUCCCAAAAAACCGUCCCAGUUCAGAUUGCACUCUGCAACUCGGGUGCAUGAAGGUGGAAUCGCUAGUAAUCGCAGAACAGCAGGCUGCGGUGAAUACGUUCCCGGGCCUUGUACACACCGCCCGUCACACCAUGGGAGUUGGUUCUACCUGAAGACGGUGCGCUAACCGCAAGGAGGCAGCCGGCCACGGUAGGGUCAGCGACUGGGGUGAAGUCGUAACAAGGUAGCCGUAGGGGAACCUGCGGCUG
rnacentral:rRNA from 1 species